rnacentral:tRNA from 1 species
GCCGUUGUAGCUCACCAGGCAGAGCACUGACUUGGUAAGUCAGAGGUACUGGGUUCGAGUCCCAGCAACGGCU